CAUUUCUUCCUGUGAAGAGUUUAAAGAUGAGAACUUCUCCAGGCUUAGUGACUGUGAUAAUCUUAAUGUUUGGAAGGACUUGUGGAGACUCUGUGACCCAGAAAGAAGGCCACGUGACUGUGUCAGAAGGGGCUUCCAUGACCAUAGACUGCACUUAUUCAGCCACAGGGUACCCUUCUCUCUUCUGGUAUGUCCAGUAUCCUGGAGAAGGUCCCCAGCUCCUCUUUAGGGUCUCCAAGGCCAAUGACAAGGGACGCUACAACGGAUUUGAAGCCAUGUACAAUACAGAAAACACCUCCUUCCACUUGAAGAAAGCUGCAGUCCAAGAGUCAGACUCAGCUGUGUACUACUGUGCUCUGAGUGACACAGUGGCAGAAACCACAGGGGAAGCUGAGCACAAACUGAGUGACAGCAAGGGUCUGGCUGCUGAACUUCUUCUCUGGCAUCUGUGUGGUUUCAGCACAGUCCGAUGCAUACACCCCUCAACUUCUCUGCUGAUGUAA